rnacentral:lncRNA from 1 species
AUCAAUCAAGAAAGAAAAUUUAGCAACUAAGCAUGUACAAAAUUCAGAGACUAUCCAGCAAUUUAGAACAGCUUUAGAACCCCAGGAACAACAGUUUUAGAACAGCUUUAGAACAAUGAUGAUCUACAGUUUUAGUACACUGCAGCUUUGACAACGAUCUAUAGUUUAGAACACUGCAGUUUUAGAACAGUGCAGUUUUAGAACACUGCAGUUUUGGCUAUUCUAAAACAGUUUUAAAACACUGCAGUUUUGGCUGUUCUAAAACAACAGCUUUAGAGUUUACCUUCUCUGCUCGUACUGAAACUGAAGCCGCCGCCACCGCUGCCUGUANNNNNNNNNNNNNNNNNNNNNNNNNNNNNNNNNNNNNNNNNNNNNNNNNNNNNNNNNNNNNNNNNNNNNNNNNNNNNNNNNNNNNNNNNNNNNNNNNNNNUAGUUCGCUACUGCUCUGGACACAUUGGUUGACCGGCGUGUGUCCUUCUUAGCUGCUGUGUCUGUCCUUUCUGGGGAAAUGUCACACGAUGUAAUGGAGUCCUUGUAGCUUGCUACGACUCGUCUACAUCCGCUGGUGACCGACACCUGCUUUGCUGGGUCAUGUAUGUCUGUCCCUGUGCGGAACUGCCACUUUGGUUUAUGACUAGACAUGUCGAUCCAGGUUCUUUGUCAUUGGAUUGCUAGCGACACAAUUGCAUACGUGAGUCAAAAGGUGCAAACGGUCUCGGCUAAGGUAAGACUGCAGCCGUGGGGUUAACCGUGCGUGAGACCGCAAAGGGAUGCGAUGUGUUACAGGCUGGAUUCCUAUGGCUUAGGAUCGAGGUCCCGACACCCGCGCCCUGCUGCUGCCGUCGCCGUCCCAUCUGUGCCAUGCUGUAGAAAAGGGAACGAGACGAGGAGAUGGUGAGGUGAGGUGGGGAGGGAGAACUUGUGCAAGGAAUGAGUGGAACUACCAACCUGGGAUAGCCCGGUGCUGGAUCCGAAGGCUGCUGGACUCGCCGUCGCCGGAGAUGAGGUGGCGGCCGAAAUCCUAGCUAGCCAUGAGGAACAAUGGAGGGCGGGAGCGCAGAUUCUGGGCGAAGAGGAAGGAGGUGUGGAGCUUGGGGAGCUCGGGGGAGUGCUUCCCGUUGUCGGAGCUCACUGUAAUAGGACAGCGUGGGUGGUGGCGGCGGCGAGGGAGAGGGGAUCGUAGAGAGUGAGGAGCCAGGUCACGAGAUAGAGAGGAGGGGGAUGACGCUGGAGUUAGGUGGGCUCUCUCUCUCUCGUGGGCUCAUAUUUUUUCUCCUUUUCUGUAUGGAUGGAGGGAGGGAUGUGGGGGUGGAGAGCUAGAUGGAUAUAUGAAUGGAUAUGCGCCACAUCAUCGAUCCGUGGAACAAACGUUUCCACCAAUAGGAAUCAAGCUCAUGCAAUUUUGUUCUUCUUUUUAUUUUUCUUCUAAUUUUUUCUACCCUCUUGACCGACGAAGGAGGGCAAGUACUAACUGCAUCCACAUCGGUGAAGGAUCUGGCGGCCUCUGGCCUCAUCUCCAUCGAAGAAGCACUGAGGUGAAGGCCACCAAAACCCUAGCCACAAUAUUUCCACGAAUGAGAAGUAACCUAUUGUGUGGCUGUUUCCACCCUCAAGUGAAGACGACGGUGCCGUUCAUGAAGGGGGUCACACUCCGGAGCCACGUGUCGGACGUCUAAAGCUAUUUUUGCCAUUUAAACAGUUUUCCGCCGAAUCAUAACGAAAUCAGAUGGAAUCGGAAGGAAAUCGGUCAAACAAUUUUGCACAAAGGUGCAUCUUGGAAUGGCAAACAAUGUUGCUAAAGGGAGUUUUCAUUUUGUUUGGACGUAAAAUUCAUUUUCCAUUUGUGGCCUUGUCGACACCUAUAGAAGACACAUAGGCGAAAUUGUUGAGUUUUCUGCCCAGUCACCUGUAUUUAAGCCUAUGACCUUCUUAAUUUUGUCAUGGAGGACCUACAAUGCAGGCAUAAAUAGAGCUACACAUGCGAGUGACCAUUUUGGGCAAUGGGAUUAUGACCUUCUUGAUAGAGAUGGUCAAAAUUUUAUACGGUUUGGACCCUCUUAGACACCUCAUGACCUUUUUUAUAUUUUAGUCAUAGAUCUAUGACCAAUAAAACCGUUGUCAAUAUUUUUUGUCAUAAACAAGCUUAUUUCUUGUAGUGACAAAGAGCUUGCACCCAAUGCUAUAAAGGGGUUGUCAAUCCCUUCAAGAUUGAUUGCAAAGUGAGAUCUGAAGGCGCAAAGUGCAACGAAGUAAAAGAGUAAGGCUGAAAAUAUGGUGUGAAGUAGACCCGGGGGCCAUAGUGUUCACUAGAGGAUUAUCUCAAAGUAGCAAAUAUUACGGUGGGUGAACAAAUUACUGUCGAGCAAUUGAUAGAACCGCGCAAAGUCAUGACGAUAUCUAAGGCAAUGAUCAUACAUAUAGGCAUCAUGUCCGAGACAAGUAGACCGAUACUUUUUGCAUCUACUACUAUUAUUCCACACAUCAACCGCUAUCCAGCAUGCAUCUAGUGUAAUGAGUUCAUGACGAACAGAGUAAGGCCUUAAGCAAGAUGACAUGAUGUAGAGGGAUAAUCUCAACCCAAUGAUGAAAACCCCAUUUUUUACCCUUGUUGGCAACAACACGAUGCAUGCCUUGCUACCCCUUCUAUCACUGGGUGAGGUCACUGCACGGUAUGAACCCAAAACCAAGCACUUCUCCCAUUGCAAGAAUCAUAGAUCAAGCUGGCCAAACAAAACCCACAACUCGAAGAGAAUUACAAGGAUAUGAAAUCAUGCAUAUAAGAGAUCAGAAGAAACUCAAAUAAGAUUCAUUGAUAAUCUCAUCAUAAAUCCACAAUUCAUCGGAUCUCGACAAACACACCACAGAAGAAGAUUACAUCGGAUAGAUCUCCAUGAAGAUCAUGGAGAACUUUGUAUUGAAGAUCCAAGAGAGAGAAGAAGCCAUCUAGCUACUAGCUAUGGACCCGUAGGUCUAUGGUGAACUACUCACGCAUCAUCAGAGAGGUCAUGGUUUUGAUGAAGAAGCCCUCCAUAUUCGAACCCCCCUCCGGUAGGGCAUUAGAACGUGCCCCAGAUGGGAUCUUGCAGAAAUAGAAGCUUGCGGCGGCGGAAAAGUACUUUCGAUGAUCUCCUGAUGUUUUUGGAAUUUUUGGGAAUAUAUAGGCGAAAGACCUAGGGCAGAGGUGGCCCAGGGAGCCCACAAUCCUGGGAGGCGCGGGCCCCCUGGCCGCGGCUAGGGGGCUUGUGGGGUCCGUGGUGAUCCCCUGCCUUGGUUCUCAAGUUCCCCGAUCUUCUUCUGUUUAGGAAAAAAUCUUUUUGGAAGUUUCGUUCCUUUUGGACUCCGUUUAAAAUCCUCCCGUGAAAAGGGUCAAAAACACAGAAAAAACUGGAACUGACACUUGGCACUGAGUUAAUAAGUUAGUCCCAAAAAAGAUAUAAAACACAUACAAAACAUCCAUAGUUUGACAAGAUAAUAGCAUGAAACCAUCAAAAAUUAUAGAUACGUUGGAGAUUUAUCAAUGCCCUUGUUUUCCAUAGACAUGAUGGGUGGUGGUCAGGGUGGACUAUUGGCCAUAUUCCAACGACUUAAAGUCGUUUCCUAUGGACAUAAUUCGACCAUCUUAGGGCUCGGUGAAGCUUUGGGGUUUUAAGGAACUUGGGAUGUGAGUGAACAUCUAUCAUCUUAUCCCUAAGCACAUUCCUGAGAUGUCAAUAGUCUAACCUUUAUCGCCGGACAAUGAUCACCCUAUAUCAUCGAAAGUGCCAACUCACACAAGUCAACCCACCUCACUCAAGCUAGUCAACACCAGGGUUUGAGGAAAAGACCUCGACCUAAAUCUCAUAGGUAUACUAUAACUAAGUUACACAUGCAUCCCUAUGUAAAAAUCCUCGGGAGAGCAUACAAGCUUCUAAGCUUGAAUUAAGACACCACAAAUCCAAGUGUUCAGCUAGAUCAUCAAAUGGACAGGGUACUGCAUUCCUAUAUUAAGGAAACUCAUAGUAUACCAAUCCAAGGUCUGGUUUUCUUCCUACGAAUCCAAUCAGGUGGUCCACCAUAUUGAUCACCAUUGGACCCAUCACUCCUACAAUCCGAUAUCGAUGGGGUUGUACCCGAUCACUUAGAGUCCACAUAAUUCACAUAUUGUUGCAAGGACUAUGUCAUAGUGUAUCCACCAACCUCCAAUAUUAUGGCCAACUAAUCUCCAAGGCCAAACUUAUAUAGGUUCAUAAUUUAAUUCUACAACUCCAAUUACUACUACUUGUUAUCCACUGAGAAACAUGUUAUCAUGAUCGAUAUCGUCGGACUAAAUCCGAUUUACUCCGAACCAUGUGGUCUCUGUCAUCAUCGAUGCUCUACUGAGAUUACCUAUUUAAACCCAAAACUCAGGUCCAAUAAGAACUUUUACUCGCUAAUCCAAUACAUUAUGGUAACACCAUCAAACCAUGACUACUAACUGAUAAAGCCAAUUUAUUAUAUCACCAAGAAUUUAUCUCAUGAUCAUAAUUGUCCUACUUGACCCAAACUUACUCCGGUAUCAUGUAGGUUAUGCUACUACAUCAACUUGUUCCACCAAGAUAGUCCAUCUAUAACCCCGUGACACCUAUCAUCAUCACAACAAACCGUUGACUACAAAGUGUAUAUCCGAGAAUGAUCGUUCCUAUGCCAUCAAGGUUCCGGUGCUAGCUUUAAGAAAGAAGGAUACUUGUUCACUGUAAUCACUUGUUCCAUAAAGAACCAGUGCUAAGUAGGGUUUAUUGGAGCUCAAUAGGUGCUCUGGCAAAUCCGUGUAUUAGACACGUGACCAGAAGUUUGAGCUGGGGAAGCUUGUGAGGGUUUAGUUGGUCUAGGGACGGGAUUCCAAUCUUGAGGGAUAGCAUAACUUCUAUAGGUCGCGUCCGGUUGAACACGUUACAGUAAGCGUCCUACGUGUCAGUCGUCUGCCGAAGUGAACCCUUGUGGCAUCUUGUCUUGCUGGUCUCACGCUGUCGAGAAAGGUGGAGAGAGAGAAAGUAGCAUAGAGGGGAGUGCGGAAGAGGGUGGUAUGGUGCAAGUGCAAUCAAACAAGUGUCGCAAGGCCAACACGAACAUCAAGAGGAGGCAGGUGAUAUAGUCACACACUCAUUGCCUAGGGAAAAAGUGCAAUGUAUCUCAAUGCAUAAACAAGCAAAAACAAGUAACACACAACAUGGUUCCAUCCGAACCAUUUCACGGACUCGACUUCGUAUAAGGGAUUCACGACUCAUCGUGCCCUAGGUUUUCUCGGACUCAACAGUCGUGCUUUCUUCGUAUCUUGGAGAGGAGUCCGCUCAGUCUUCUAGGCCUUCUCAUGGUGUCGUUGUGUCCCUUGUCGUUGUUUGCCGAAACGACUCGGGUUGGCUGAAAAGAGUCCUUGACAACUUCUCAUCUGGUGAACCACCGACGAAGGUGGUUCCUCAUGACUAUCGCUGACAGUGUCUUGUGUUGUCUUUGUAAUCUUGUCAUUGUCUUCUUGUCUUCCAAGGCGUGAGAGUUCCAAGUUGACAACCUUUAUGUGAUGACAUCAGCAAGGCAUGAUAGAUUUCCGACAUGUGAGUCAGGAUGAUCACAAUAUCGACAACUAGAGCGGGGGAUGAAGAGAACCAUUUUCCUGCUCACUAAGGUGAGGCGGACCAAAUGGCGAGGUUCUCAUCCAUCGGUGGUGGUUGACACAACAUUGAUAAUGACACGGGUGCUCUAUGAGCGAUGCAUAUCAUGGUCUUGCACAUAUUAUGUCCUGAUCAUCGUAGGUAAAGGUUGCAUCACUUCGGGACACUGUCGAGGGUGUCACCAUCUUCUGGGUUUCGAUGUCCUCAUUCCUCAUGGAGGUAUCUUCUGUUGGUAUCGUCUGGUCGUAGCGUUGCCAUCCUUGUAUUCCAAGUACAUGGGUGAUCAUUUGGAAAGGUUGCUCCCUUCAAGAUACCCACGAGGAUUUUAGGUAAUUCGGGGAUCAGAGGGCGUAAGGGUGCUAGCGACUGCUUGCAAGUUCGGAAAAAGUAGAUGAGGAGAGUCAAGAGAACAAGGGUGGAAUUGCUAAGGCAAAAACCUUCACCUCCUUGGAAAAUAUAAGAGAGGUGAGGAAGGUACAAGUUUUGCAAGUACUUUUGAAGGGUAUGGAAUCAGAUUUUUCCUAACUAACGUCCAUGCUAACUAACGGCUUCCUACAGUUAGGAUGUCUCUAAUACCAGCUCUUUGGGGACCCAAACUUAUGAGUUGUGGUCACCGAAUUAACGUGCUCAGUGAUUCCAGAGAUCAAUGAUCAUUGGGCACACAAAAACUGAAUAACAAGAGUCUUACAUCCAUACAUACCAUUUGAUACAAUUAAUGACCAUUGCGGUUAGGUCUUACAUAGAUAGGGCCUUGAAGACCAACACACCAAACUUGACCAGUAGCGGAAUUACUGGUCCAAAGCGUGAACCCAUGCCAUCAGCCUUAACCUACAGGCAUUCUGACUGGGAAGCGUCAUAGCUCGCAGGAAGGUCACCAAGGUACUCUUCACCAUCUCAUUCCCUCUCUUACCUGGUCAAUAAAAUAACUAGUGGCAAGCCAAUGAGUACUUUGAAUGUACUCGCAAGCAACCCAUGAUGUGGGACAGGGAAAUAAUGAAACAUGAUAUAUCACAAGUAUGCAGCCUUUGCGGAAAGCAAGUUUUUCCCUAAAUGCAGUAACAUGAUCAAAUGCUUCUACGGAUAUGCAUCAUAAGGUAAGCGGUAACCUUGUGAACAGGUUAGACAUAUCAAUAUCAACUCAGGGCUGAACAUUCCAUGCUCACCCAUCAUGCCAAGUCAUCUGACUUGACUCAAGUAACAUCUCUCUCGUGUAACACCUUUAAUACACACGCACACUUGGUUUACACGAAAACGAUUGGACGUAGUUUAAGAAGCACCACCCAACUAUCCUUGACCCUGGACACGGCUAUUCGAAUAGUUUUACACUCUGUAGAACUUGUGUGUUGUACCCACGAGAUUCGAGAAACUUCCGUGUCAUCCACGACUCGCGGUAUAUAACAUACCCGAGGUUAGCACCGGAACAUUGCCUUUCCCCUAUCGACACUAGACAAAGAGUCCACUCGAUUGGUACCCAGCCCACAUGACAUACGUCUUACGAGCACCAACUCUAGACCAUAUCAUCCAUGCAGGGACCAAAGGUGUGGCUGGAAAAUGUAAAAAUGGCAUAGUCACCCUACCUCGCACAACUGUGACACGAUAGUGACCAUAUCACUCGUGCCACUAGUAAUGCGGGCUCUUUGCUCGCACCGACGAGAGUAAUCAACAAAGCCCCGUCCCAUAAAAGGAUAUUGUGGUCGCACAUGUAAGGUUGGGACGGUCGACAAAUCUUAAAUCUAAUCCCAUUUCUGAAACCACUCACACAAAACCUUUUCGGUACACCACUUCUUUCUCAAGUGUUCAUCCAGCUCAACACCAUCACCCUCGGGCAUUAGUGGCACCCGACGGGGUUUUCGGAAAAAUCUUUGUAAUCACCUCUGUGUUACCAUCACCAUGCAUGUGCUCAUACUAUGCUUAGCUCUACUCCAACCUAUAUAUUUCAUCUACAUGACCCUCAUAGAUGGUAAGUUCAUGCUCAAAUGCAAGUGCUCCAGAGGAGCUAUCGGUAACACCAUACCGAGGGUUACCGAUUUAAUCAUGAUCAUAUGCAUCGGAAGUAAUCAACAUGGCAUGCAUAAAAAUGUUUUCUCACACAUGAUCAAAGGGUUGCUUGCCUUGCUCAAUUAGGUCUCUGGGAUCUUCGAAGUCUUCUAGUCCAACUCCGAGUACUUCGUCUAUUUCGCCAACUAUCGUCAGAAACAACCACAGUAAGCCACAGAGCAAGCACGAACAAAAGUGCUCUAUAAUUAGGAGUUCUAUUUUUGUGGGACAUCUGUGGUCAUAAGAAAAAUCCCUAAAGUUGUUCUAAGAGAUAUGGAUCACAAGAGUUUUUGAAUGGAGGUAGUGGAGGCCCCACUGGCCCCACAAGAAGUAUAGAGGAAAUAUUAUGAUAAAAAUGAGUGGAGGCCAUCAUUAAAUAGGUCACGAAGUUAGAAACAUUUAGGAAGUGGUUUCACUAGGUUUGGAGUUGUUAUGAAUUUCCUAUGGAUUUUAUAACAUGGAAUAGAUAGCAAUAAGAGGCUAUAUAUAUGGUGCAACAUAAAUGUUGCAGAUAAAAAUGUUCACCUAAGCUAGGAAAUUAGUGCAUGAUUUUAGAAGCCUCUGAAAAUAGGAAUCACUCCAUUUGAAGCUGAAUUGAGUCCUCUAGCAUUUUUACAAAGUGAGUUCAAAUAAAUGAAAUUCAUGCUUGAAUUUGACCUCUGCACAAAAUUUCUCUGGAAAAAUGUGGAAUACACAUAUUUGAAUAGAUCUGGUAUUUAGGAGUCUACACAAAUUUGAAUCACCUAAUUUGGAGCUAAUAUGAAUUAGAUGUGCGUUUUUGAAAUUCUCCUAAAAAUAGAAUGGAGCAAAGAGCUACACCAUGGGAGCUAUAACGCACGAGGGCGCAAGAUAGCUCCUGGGCCGGCCCAGGCGCGUAGGCUUGGGGCGACGUCAAAGGUGCACUCUACGACAUACGUCUCCCACGUGGGGAGGCGACAUCCGACCGGAGGCACGGCCACUAAACUGGUAGCCCCGGGUCAUAGCCGCUAACCGAGGGAGCCCGCCCGUCAGCUCCUUCGUCAUGCUCUCGCUCGACACAUAGGAGGGCACGGGAGGCUGGCCGAGCUGGCGCUGGUGCCCGCUCUGGUGGCUCCGGCCUCCUCCGGCGGAGCUCCGGCCACCGGCGGCUCGGGGAGGCCUACCGCACACGCCAGGGCCCUCAUUCCCGUCGGGAGAGCACCGGGGAGAGGGAAUCCUAGCCGCGGUGGAGAUCGGCUUGGGUGCUCUUGGGGGCAAGGCUCCGGUCACCGAAAGGAAGGAGGGAGGAGUGCUAGAAGCUUACGGUGUGGCUGGGAUGCUCUGGGAGGUGCUAGGGAGAGAGAAGGAGGCCGGGAGAGCUCGGAUUUGAGUGAGGCCACGGCGGCACCCAGCGGCCAUUGGGGAGGAAGAGAGCUCGGGAAGGAGAUUGGGAAGGUCCGUGAGGUUGCCAGGAAGGUAGGGAAGUAGGAAGGAUGUAGCAGGGCUCGAGGGAGCGGCUAAAACGGAGGGGGCACCGAAGAGGACCUCGGAUGCUCUGGGCAUGGGAGAGCACGGGCGCCAGAGCCAUCUUGCCCUCUUCCUGGCAUCGGGGAGGGCCUGAUUGGUCAAAGGGGAGUGCCCUGGCGCUCUGGGCCACGCUGCCUUUGUUAGACCUGAACUGCAACAAGGGGACAAGGUGCAGAGCACCACUUCUGCAUGUCAUGGAGGUGGUCACCACGGCCAUGCAUGUCUACAAUGGCUUUACGACCAGUCAAAGAUGUCUGGCACCCAAGGCAUGCAUGAAGGGUUCUGAUGGUGGAGUUUGGACCCAUAUGGAGGUGGUUUGAAUUGGUUUCUACUCUGAUUAGGUUUGUAGCAGCAAACUUGGGGCUAGCAAAAUUGGUAUCCAGAAGGGGAAUCUUGGGAUGAAACCAUGUCUAGCAAAUUUAUGUAUGGAAGGACUACAAGAGUGCAACGUUUCGGAUCAAGGAUGGAUGUGUAGCUAGCAGUUGCAGUUCAAGGUCAAAUUUCUGCCAAAAACAAGUUUUAGAAUGGCUGCUCAUAUUUCCAACAUGAUCAUGCCAUAUUUUGGUUUGGGAUGAUGCAUUAGCAUGCUAGAGGUUCUCUGGAAAUAGGUGGAAGCAUUUGCUUGAGCAGAGUACAACAAGAGGGGUAAAACUAGUGAUGUGAAGGUAAAAAUGAAAGGUAGAGGGGUGGAGUCACCCUCCAAUAAUUGACCAGAGGCCAUGGAAAGGUUACUGGAGGUAAAAGAGGACUAGAGAGAGCUGUGGUAAAAAUUUAAGCUCAAGGAGAUUAGUGCAAAGGGGCCAACCUAGCAACUUUGGUAAAUGGACAGAAGGUGUUUGAUGGUUUCUAGGACUAUCAAAUGGACUCCAUUUUCUAUGAAACUUAGCAGUAUCACAUAAUAGGUGAAAAUGAGCUUGGACAAUAAAUUUGGGAUUUGGUGGAGAAAGUUUCCAAUGUAGACUUGAAAACCCCAUGAAAUGGUCUGAAAUGGCUUUCUCCUAACAAAACUAUGCAAAUCAAUUCCCAGUAAUCCACAUCUUGGUUUGGUGGCAUUAUUUGAGCAUUAGAGCAUGCCCAAAAAGUAUGGUAACAAUUGGACAAACUUUGUAAUGCAAGGUUUUCCAAAGUUAGAAAUCAACACAGAAGGUUGUGAGGGGUUUGGGACAAGUUAUUCUAUUCUCCUUGAUUCACCACUUGAUGUGGAUGGAUUAUUGGAGUAUAAUAACAUGUACACAAAGUUUGAGCACAAUUGGAGACACUUGGCAAUGUAGAGUUUCUCAAAUUUGGAUCUGGACAGAUAGGGUUUUGGGAUAAUUAGGUGUAUCAAAUCAACUUGGAUUUAGAUGAAACUUGGCAAGAUCAUCACAUAUAUCAUGUGUGACAUGCUAUAAUUUUACUAGGAUUUCUUGAGAAUAUUUGUUAUAGAAAUAGUUCAAAAGCUUGAAAUGGGCAAGAAGGGUUUUGAAGGGUUGUUCCUAAUAUUUUUAACUUGACCAUGUGUUGAAACUCUUAUAUACGGGAUAUAUAUAUAUCCAAUGAGUUUCGCUAAAUUUUCUCAAAUAUUUUGGAAGCAAUAAAAAUAACUUUCCUUCAUAAGGGACCAUUUCUAGCCUCAAAGAAGGAUAUUUAAAUAAAAUAGUAAAAUAACUUUUAAAAUAAUAAUAUUGUUGAUUUGGGAAGCCAUUUUGAUAAUGGGAUUUAAAUAAAAUAUUUGGUGCAAAAUAACUUCCCUAAUUUGAGGACUUGUGGUACAAAUCCUAACUCGGGUUUUUUAAAGCUUAUAUGAGGGAAAUGCCUUUGGUCAAAAUAAUGUUUGGUAAAAAUAGUUUCUAGUCCUAUACACAUGGCAUGAUCAUUAGGAAAGGGUUUGGGUUAAGGAGGUGAGUUUGGAGAGUAGCAGGAACAUUGGAAUUUAAACACACACAAUAAGCAAGCAAGCAGCAAUCCAUCAAGCAUCACAAUGAGUCUUACAAAUUUUAAUCGGCCCUAAUUUUUUACUUAUGUUAGUUUACCUAGGAGAGUCGAAACACGGGGUGUGACAGACCUUACCCCCUUAAGAAAAUCUCGUCCCCCAGAUUUCUAUGCUAGGCAUUGGAGAGAUACAAAAUCUUGGGUCGGAGGUAGUCUUCAUGUCCCCAUGUUACUUCUGUGGGUCUCGAAGUGCUUGAUGAUACAACUUUGAGUGCUCCGCUUAUCUUCUCCUGGCCGUGAGUGGGGUUCUGGUGAUAAGUUAGGCUUGACUGGGGGUCAAAGGCUUGGUGCACUAAGUUCUCGCAAGGGUCUGACUUACAUGUGUAUCCCAAGGUCGGAAUACAUGGUAAGGUAGCGUGUCUGGUGCUGGUCUCAGGGUCGCGCACCUUGGUUAGUGACACCUAGUUGUCUCGGGUUAUAAUAGAAGGGUUUGUCGUGGGCUUUCCGUCGCGAUCCUCUGCUUGAUUAGGUCACUCGUGUAUGUCCUUCAUUCGUCUAUGUUCGUUUGUCGUCUUCAUGGACGUAUGCUUCCGGUGUGUCUUCAGAUGGUCGGCCUCCUAGCCUCUUUGUAGCUUCUCAUGGAAAGGUCCGAGUUGGGGUCUCAUCCAUGAGUCUAAGCUCGGAGACUCAGCAUUUACAAUGGGUUCUAUCAUCUAGGAAGGUUCAUGAGGGGUUCUGGAUGAGCUGGCUACCCAAGAGUAUAGACCAGUCAUCCAAUCCCUAAGGUUUGUGGCUUGGCAAGCGGGUGAUUCAAUUUUGGCAGGUUAUCACCAUGAUCCAGAUAGGACUCUCGUCCUUGAUUGGGACCAAGAAGAGGCUCUCUGAUUUCUCUCGCCGUCCAAAGGCUUCAUCGACUUGGUCGUCGAUGCUUCUUGACAUAGUUUAUGUGGCCGACGCAGGAGCGGUGGUUGUCUUCUACUGCUUCUUUUUCAUCGUCGUGGUUUCCCAACCAUUGCGGUUCUUCGCCUUGCUUGAGAUAAAUUGGCUUAUGCUGCUUUGGGAGUGUGUUGAGGAGCCCAUCCUCUCGAGAUAACACCUUACUCUUGAGAGGCAUGGUGAUCGGUGUUCCUGGGGUUGGUCCAAACAGGACUAAAGUGUUCCUCCUCUCUUUGGGUGAAUAAGUACGCCAUCCAUGAGGAUAACGACAUACUUCCCCAAGCAUCAUUUAAGCACACUAAUCAUGAGGUGGGUGAGAGGAGUGGGUGUUUGUGGUCCAACACAAUUUGGUACCUCAUGCCUGCUACGGCAACACACAACAGCGCCAGAGAUUGGCACGUUGACGGAGACUGGGCUUGUGUUGAUUUUCCCUUGAAGAGCAAAGGGUGAUGCAGCACAGGAGCAGUAAGUAUUUCCCUCAGUUUGAGAACCAAGGUAUCAUUCCAGUAAGAGAAUCUCGUCAAGUCCAGAGUACCUGGACAAACAUAGACUACAAGAAAUAAGGUUAAUUAUGACUCCCUAUAUUGGUCAUUGAUUCGUCAUUGUUCUCAUUUAUUGACCUUUUUUGACCAAAUUUACAAGGUCAACAGUUGGCCGUCAAGAAUGAACAAACAUGACCUUUCUAAAAUUUUGGUCGUAGGUCUCUAUUGACCAAAAAAUUGCUUUGGUCAUUACCGAUUUGUGUGAGCCACAUAGGAUGUGACGUGGCCAAGCGGACGUGGCAUUGCUAGUGACCAAUUGAAAUCAUCAUAAAUUUUAAAGCCCAAUCGACCAAUCUAGCUUACAUGGGACUGACCCAAUACCUAUUUAUUAUUGAAAAUGUCCGAUUUGUUUUGUUUGAAGCAUUAUUUUGCUAGAAGCAUGCAAAUUUUAAGAUAGGCCCAUUAAAAAACAAAUACAACAACAGAAUAAAAAGAUUGCAGAUAAACUGUAUAUAUCAUUUCAGUAGCACAUCACAUGAAAUACAAUACAUCAUCCACCGACUCCUCCACACAUUAAGGUUCAAGGCCUAACAAGUGCACAUCAAAAUAAUUUUACAAGUGAACAACAGAAUACUUCUACAGGUGCAAGUGCACAGAAAAAGAACCCAACAAGUGCACAAUCACACAUGAAGAGAGUUCGACAAAGAUUAAAUGAGAAGCACAAGUUUCUUCUCAUCCUCUUCCUCUGCACAAUAUGCCAUUCUUGCCAUUGACGCUUGCAAGAAGAAAAUGAUUAUUUUCCAUUGACGCGUGCAAGAAGGCAUGAUUCAGAUGUUCUGCAUGAUCAAAGUCAAGAGUCGAGAAAUGAACAAGGUCAUAGAAAACAUCAUCUAACACAAAUACAAAUUCGCAGUUACUUUCAUUGGCUGAGAGACAUUUCCAAACAAAAUAGAUUUUUCAUGCAAUUAAGUGAUACUUUGUGAAGGCUUAUUACAACCAGUAGUAACUGGUAUUCCUGUAAACAAACAGAUUUAUAUUAAGACUUGUUACAAGCAGAAGUAAAUAUAAGUAGAGGAGCCAAAUGCAUGUGAACUACCUAGGCCUAGCUCUUUUUACUAACAAAAUAACUGUGAGAAAUGAUUUUUAAAUAUAUAGUGCAAAAAAUCCUGGAAAUAUUAAGGGAGUAAGGUUGCAUCCAACAGUGGCAGACAAGGGUGCAACAUACUACUACAACUAUAAGCUAGAUACAUACUACUCUGUUUACUAUAUUAAUUUGUCUCCUCUAUUGCUUCAAUCCUAAGUUUACGGCUGAUAGGGGCCGAACAUGCUAACGGCUGCAACUUGUGAGACAUACACACAGCUAGCUGAAAUGUGUGUUGCGUCGUAAUUAACUGCGAUGCUGCUAGUCGAUCAUCAACUACUAGCUAGUGUCUAGUACUCUCUCCGUUCCGGUGCAUAAAUCAUCUUAUGAAAAUCAAAUAAUCAGAGAACACUUAAACACGGUUCAUUAACUUCUACCUCGUUUAUUGUUUUUUGACAUGAAUAAAACAAUAAACCAAUAACGUGGGACAUGUAACUAAUCACCAUGAAGUUCCUGCCGGCUUUGCUCAUUUGUCAGCUGAUGAAAUUAAACAAAGUCCUGAAGGCUUCGGAAACAACACUGCUGCACCUUGUGUGUCAUCACUACCAAAAUACAGUUGGAGAUUUCAGUGGUGGAGCGCCUACUGGCCAUACAGAAGACCAUUUCCCAUGUUAGUUAUUUACUUAGCUUUACUUAUGUAUGAAACUGAGCUUAAGCUAUUUUGCAUCUUAAACAUUGUGAUCAAAUUAUAUCAGGUAUAUUUUAAACUAUAAUUUACAUGUGUGAUGUUACUUCUCUACAUGUAUAAUUUCGUUAUCACAUUCUUUGGAAAUGUGUGGACUAGAAUUUUCCUAAAUUAAACGUAGGCAUGUGCAGCCUGGGCCUAGUAUAUCUAGGCUGGGCUCAAGCCUCAUUUUCAGUGAAAGAGCCCUAAAGAGCCUGGAGUGGUAGUUUUGGGGAUUUUUCUCACGAAAGUAGGUAUGACCAUUCAUAACUUAAUAUUUGGAAUGAUAUAUUUACUAUUUACAAACACAAAAAUUAGAGUUUUAUUAGUGCAGAUCGGGCAGGCCUUGGCUUUUGAUAGCAUUCACUGCACAAUAUUUUGCCCUUACGUACAAUGUUUUGAUAGCAUUUAGUGGUAGUUUUAUCAGUGCACAAUGUUUUGCCCAAAUAUGUAGUAGCAGCAGUAAGGAUUAUAUUACAAAUACCUUCUAAAAACAAUUUGGUAAAGUGGCAGCAGCACGGAUUAUAUUACAAGUUUCUUGUAAAAACAAUUUGGUAGUAGUAGCAGCAGCAGAUCUAAGAAGUUUUUGUUAUGAGCCUCAACAUGAACUAAAGUAAACAAAAACUAAAUAUUCUAAUCAUUGAUGCCAUUACCAUCGGAUCUCAGCACCCCACAAACAUUUGUAUAAACAAACAAAAUGGAACAUAGAGAUUAUGGUCUUUUUUCCCUCGCAUGUGUUCAGAAUUUCAAACAGGGAGAACAUGAAGGGAAGGAGCUCAUCGUGGCUAUUUUUGUAGUCGAUGCCGAACGGCACCGCUAACGCCACCGUUGCAUGGAAGCAGCAGAAAAGAGGAGCCUGGCACGAUGAACCCCUUGUAUUGAAUCAAAUCCUGCUGCACAAGAAGAACUGUAUAAAUCCAUAAAUGGCAACUAUCUGCACUGGCUACAGCUUGAUAUAACAAAUUAAGUUGUACUAGUCGUCAACCCGUGCACAUGCACGGGCUAGCUAUUUAGAAUACAUAAACAUAUACAGUUAUAAUAGUUAUUGUGUUUUCAUUUGAAUUUGACGAACAUAUAAAAUGAGUCUUCGUCGUGUCUCCAUAUAAGUAUCUAUCCGCAUACUGUUGGUUUCCUUCUCCCAUUAAAGCAAUCAUAUCCCAAAUGACCAUGCAUCGGCUCAAAUCAAUAGUAGAAACAAUGAAGAAUGAUGCUACGCACAAAGAGAAGAAAAAUGUCAUUACGAAAGGAACACAUCGUAUACAAAUCUGUCAAAAAUAACACGUCGUAGUAUUCAUAAGUAUACACAUGGAGAAAUAAUUAAUCAAUACAAAAUUACAUGGUGUUAAGAAUGAAUUAGAGGUUGGUAUAAAAUUACAACUGAACAAUUUCCUUAUAUUGUUCAUUCACAAUGCUUUCUCGCCAAGUUUGCAACAAUUAGUCAAUACAAAGACGUGUACAAUAUAAAAACAUUAGGGAACUACAUGCUUUGAGUAGUUAGAAUACCUUGCAUGCAUGUCUGGUCGAUGCAUAUGGAUCUUACACAUAUUAGUCUAGCUGUUUGACAACAUUGGCACAUUUUUACUCGAUUAUUUUCACAUCCUAUGAAGAUUAUUUUAUAGAUAAGUAAAAUACUAUGUAUUUGUGUGCAUUAUAGUUCUUCCAUUCAUUAACACACAUAUCUAUGUUACCUUCAUUUUUUCAUAAAAAAGGUUCCUCCAUUUAACCAGAAAUUUCAUUAGUUUAUUUGGUCCGAGAAUCUGAUUAGUUAUCCGAGGACCAAAUUUCAUUAGUUUAUUUGGUCCGAGUUCAGUAGAAAACCCAUUAUCUCAUGGUAAUGAAUAACCUAAAUGAACUAUCAAGAUAUUCCUUUCAUACGAAAAAACUAGCCGAACUAUAAUAAUAUGCUAAAGCUUGAACAUAAUUCUCUAAGGGAAAUUCAUUUCCUUCAUGUAACAAUCUCUCAUGUCAAAUAUUAAUAGUAAGAAACUCCACAUAUUUGUUUAAAGAUCCUUCAAUGAAUUCAAUUUUAGUGUGUGGUUAUACAAAGUCACUUAGUGCAUCAUUAUAACUAAUAAAGCCUCUAAACUCACACAAAUAGGAUUAUAAAUUGGGAACAAAUAUAUAAUAGUACAAUAACAAAAUCCAAAUUAGUAUGUUGCACUGGGUGAACUAAUUGACUUAUGAAGAAUAAUGCAUAUAACAACAUAAAACUUGCAUUUCACACAUGCUAAUGGAAGAUAUAAAAAUAUUCUAUUGUCACAUACGCAUAGUCAACGAUAGCACAUGUUGUCACCUUUAAUUGAGUUAGUUGUUAGCUGUUACUGAUGAUACUAAGAAUUUGGUACAUAUAUUAUUGGCCGACCAAAUAUUCAUAGGAGUAAAGUGGAGAAGGAAAAGACUUAUAAUAAUUAUUAUUAUUUGCGGAAAGUCGUCGGAGUAUUUUGGAAGAUAAACAACAGAGUUAACACUGUAUCUCUUUUGUUAUCCUUGAAAUUACAAUUUUGAAGUAUAUAAACGUCAUACCAAAUACCAACUUCAUGAAUUAUCACAUAUUUACUGAUAACUAAAAUACUGAGAGUAAACCAAAAGUCAAAAGCAACAUGCCAGGGUUGUUUAGACGGGUACUGAAAAAUAAGCAUUACAGAAUUAAUACAUGCCAUUAAAGAUUUUGAUUUUUGGGCUGCUGUUGAGAAGUAGGCAUCCGAGCAUUGAACCUUGGGUUAGCUAUUUGUUCCUAAUGUCAGCACACAUGGUGGAUACCUUCCUUAUUUGACCUCAUGGCCAAGAACUUGAGCAAUAACAUGUACACCACUGACCACUAUGCAGUGUUAAUGAUGAGUAGAUGGAGAUACUCACGUACCUGUCCCAUAGUUAAAGGCAAUGCAGUCUUUUCUGGAAUACUUCAAUCCACACAUCCAGCAGCGAGUUUUUUUUAGCUGAGCAACAAGAUUUUGCCACCAGGACUGCUUGCAGUGAGAAAAGAAAGGAUAACUGAAAUUCAGUAAAGAAGUUUGGUGCAGAAAGAGCACUACUCAAUGGAUGAAAAAUAUAAAUAGAUCUGAUCAUGUAGACUCAUUAUGCAUGGCCCUUCAUGUCAUCUUUUUCAACGCACUGAUAAAUUACCCUUUUUUCAGUAAAGAAAUUUGGUACACCACUGACCAUUAGCUGUUACUGAUGAUACAACGCGGCAUGCACAAGCCGGUGGCCAGCUCCAUGGCGUCGGCGCCCUUGUACACUGCAUCCAUCAGCACCACAUGUACGUCACCACAGCUCACCGCCGACCGAAGAUGGAUCCGUGGCCGCCGACCGAAGAUGGAUCCGGCUGGGCACGCCCCUACUAUCCGCCGCCUCGAGCAGGACAGGGCUGCCGGCUGGGUGCGCCCCUACUAUCCGCCUCCAAGAGCAGGACAGGGCUGCCAGCUGGGCGCGCCCCUACUAUCCGCCUCCUCGAGUAGGACAUGGCCCGCUGUCACAUCCCUGACACCUUCAUCAAGUUAGCAUUGUGCUCAUAUCUUCUUCGCAUUGCAUCUAGGAAAUUUUCAACAAGAACAAAGUAAGUGGUGAAGGAAAAUUCAAAACCCUAGCCACUUCUCAAUUCAAAGGAAUUAUAAACUUAUUCAAAUCAAUGAACCCAAAAUGGCCUCAAGAAAAGUUCAACUUUUCUGAUAAUUCUUGAAAACAAAUAAGCAAUGAAGGAAACAAUUUCCUUUAUACUUUUGGCAUUUUAAAUAAAUGCAAAAGACUACUGGUUUCAAGUUUUAAAUUUGAAGUCAAAGAUUUAUAGUUUUCAAAAAUGCUGAAAACUUUAUGGGUGAUUGGAAAUAUUCCAACUAAACACCCCAACAUUUUUCAAACUAUUUAUAGUUGUUUGUGAAGCCAAAAUAAAUGGAAAACAAUGUCAGUAAAUAAAACAGAACAAAAUAGAAGGAAAAGAGAAAAGAGAGGCUUACCUGUUAUCUAUCACCGGCCCAGCCCACCAGGGGCUCCCCGGUCAUCUUCCUCCUCCUGCCAGUAGGCAGAGGAGAAGAUGAGCACGCCGGCCAAGCCCCGGCCACCUCCUGCCUGCCUGCUCGCCGCUGGAGGCCCCCAGGAGCGCCAGCGCGACGCCCCGAGCCUACUUCUCCUCCUCCCCGCGGCCUUAUCUCCUCCCCUCGGCCUCUCGUUCCCCUUUUCCCCUCUCGGAUCUCUCUCUCCCCGAAGCUCCGGUCGCCGUCGAUCCGUCGCCUCCCGGUCCUCCCCGACCCUGCCGGCAGCUUCACAAGAAUCGCCGUGAGCUCCUCUUCUCGUUCCCCCUCUUCCCGAGGCCAUACCCCUCCUCUAACCCCGUUAGCUGCCAGAGCCCGAAGGUCCUCGUCGCCGGCCAUGUCACUGUCGUCGUUGUGGUACCCCGCUCGCGAGACCGAGCUCAGAAAUGAGCUCCUCGAGCUGUGUGGAUGUCGUAGAGCCUUUUCCCCAGCUCGCUAGUGCCCCGCAACGCCACCCCGACGAUGCCCGAGCCGCAGCCGCCGCUGACCUCGUCGCCGGCGUGGAUUCCGGUGACCACUGGGUCCAGCUCCUCCCCCUUUAGAUGCNAUAAAUACUUUGGAGAUGGAAUUUGGAAAAUAUUUAAAUUUCACUACAAAUGAUAUGAUCAAACACUGUCCAAAUCACAAACCAGCAACCUAACAUGUCAUUCCAUGCAUGUUAAAAGCAAGUUGAUCUGAGCAUCAGGUCGAAUCAAUUAAAAUGGUAUCCAAGAAUACCUCGUUUGAAGUGAUAUUUGAAUUGGAUACAAAUCAACUUCAAACCUAAUAGAUGUUAGCUAUAAUAGUAUACCACUUUGCAUCCUCAUGCCAUGCUCAUGCAUCAUCUUGUUGCAUAUGCUUGUUAUUGAUUGUUGUCACUCUUUUCGGUAGGCUCCGCUCCUUCGGAUUCCACCGAAUAUCCGUCUGACGGAUAUUGUCACUCCUCUGAGCAACAAGGCAAGCAACCAUUUUGAUCAUCCCGAUAAAUCCCAUGUUCUCGCUCCUGCACUUACUUAUUGCAUUAGGAUCAAAUGCUUCAAAUGCUUUUGCCACGUUAGUUGAACCCACUUCCUUUGCAUGACCUAUCCUUGUCACAGUAAAUAGCUGAACCUUGCAACCUAGCAUACCUGGUAGUUGCUUGAGCCAUGAUGUGCCUUAUCCUGCUAUGCAUGCUAUGCUUAUAGUUGUGUAUGGUUUGUCAUCUGGGAGAUGAACAGAAUUGUGAGAAUGUGUUCAGUAAGUAAAGGUUGUGUGUUGAACCUGAUUUGGUAAAGGUACCGGUGAAAGGCUGUGUAGGAGUACAUGGCGGGUUGUUUCAUUGGAACCGUCCUUAGGAACUGAGUUCCGUGUAUGUAAUCCAAGACUAGAUACUACCACACGUUGGGAUACUUAGUUGACCCUCUCGACUUAUUAAUCGCUUAGUACUCGGUCCAGGAGUUGCAAGUAGUUUCUGGUGUUUAUAGUCAUGCUAGAGGCCGUGCAUAGCGCUGACCUGAGAGGUGGGCUGUGAUGCGGUAGGCAGUGGCACGGUGUACCAAGUGGAACCCGGAUGGUGGGCUUGGGAACCAUGCGCACAUCGUUUGAGGCCGUGGCGGAAACCUCGGCCGGACUUCCGUGCGGGUUACUCUCAGAUAGGCGAUAAACCUGGACUAGGUACUAGUGUGGUUAACGGUCGUGGCCGACUCCCUCACUGGGCUUCCGCUUGAAGGUUGCUGAGGUGCAUGACGUGCACAUGGUGAUAAGUGGCGAGAGCGUGUGUGACGAAGUACACCCCUGCAGGGUUAUGAUCUAUUCGAAUAGCCGCGUCCGCGGAUAUGGACUACUUGGAGACAUAUGUUGUUCAUAGAUAACAUCAAUGGCUACUCGUAAAAUUGCCAAGAUAAGCGUGAGUGUCAUGGACGGCAUUUCCGUAUGGAGACGGAAUGGUUCCACGAUGGAGUAUUGUUGUGGUGUUAGUGGACUUGUGUGCAAGAAAUCAAGUUGUUAAAAAUUGUUUUAAAAUGUAAGUUGUCUAGCCACGAGUCAAAUGCUGGCUUUCCGCAUGAAACCCCACAAUUCCUUAUUGAUACAUUGCAUGAGUAGAUAGUUAUCCUAAAGUCUUACUGAGUACCUCCGUACUCAUGUUUGCUUAAUAAUUGUUGCAGAGGUUGUUAAUGACCCUAACGGAGGGUUCUUCCUAGACAUCGACGACGACGAGUAGUUGGUGUCCCAGCUACGAUCUGGCCCUAGGUUGGGUCUGUAGUAUAGUCAGGCCAUGUGCCUUCUAGUUUCACCUGUCUGUAC